ACCUAAACCCGAUGGCACGGAUGCCGGUAAAGUAUAUUGUUUUUAUCAAUGAUAUCGGCAGGAGGAACAGCGGGACUGAAC
rnacentral:sRNA from 1 species